GGGAAUAACAGUUAGAAAUGACUGCUAAAACCGCAUAACAUGGCGAUACCGCAUGAUAUUGCCAUCAAAUAUUUAUAGGUAUGAGAUGGGCCCGCGUCUGAUUAGCCAGUUGGCAGGGUAAUGGCCUACCAAAGCGACGAUCAGUAGCCGGCUUGAGAGAGUGACCGGCCACAUUGGGACUGAGACACGGCCCAAACUCCUACGGGAGGCAGCAGUGGGGGAUAUUGCACAAUGGGGGAAACCCUGAUGCAGCGACGCCGCGUGAGUGAAGAAGUAUUUCGGUAUGUAAAGCUCUAUCAGCAGGGAAGAAAACAAUGACAGUACCUGACUAAGAAGCCCCGGCUAACUACGUGCCAGCAGCCGCGGUAAUACGUAGGGGGCAAGCGUUAUCCGGAUUUACUGGGUGUAAAGGGAGCGUAGGCGGUGCGGCAAGUCAGAAGUGAAAGCCCGGGGCUCAACUCCGGGACUGCUUUUGAAACUGUCGGACUGGAGUGUCGGAGAGGUAAGUGGAAUUCCUAGUGUAGCGGUGAAAUGCGUAGAUAUUAGGAGGAACACCAGUGGCGAAGGCGGCUUACUGGACGAUCACUGACGCUGAGGCUCGAAAGCGUGGGGAGCAAACAGGAUUAGAUACCCUGGUAGUCCACGCCGUAAACGAUGAA
rnacentral:rRNA from 1 species